rnacentral:antisense_RNA from 1 species
GCCAUUGUUUCUCUGUGUGAUCCAAAGAAAACCUGCAUCCCAAUCUCAUGCUGGAUUUGUUCAAUAUGGAUCCUGAGUCUCAUCCAAACCCAAUGAGUCAGAAUGUCUAGGAUUGGGGCACAGAGAUCUGCAUUUUGAACAAAGCUGAUCCCCCAUCCCAAGAUUCUUCUGCACCCUGGAGUGUGAGAACUGUGGUUCUAGUCAGUACACUUGAUGUCAAGAUGUUGCAAAUGCCCUUGUCUAGAUGAAGACUUUACCAUACUACAUUAAGGGUCUGCAAGAGAAAACCCAGCCAAGGAUUCUCAGAACAACCUGAGCAAUUUUCCUAUCCUGUCUCUUCUGAUGAAGGCUCCUACUGCUUCUUAUGAGAUGUUCACUAAGCAUUGAUGGAAAUGGAGAGAAGUUUCAAAGGGAAGAGAGCUCAGAUUUGGGCUAUGGGACAAAUGUGGAAGGAGGAAGAAGGAAAUGAAAGGUGGAGUGUGGACAGAGUGGUGACUCUUGGAAAGGAAGACCUGAGGGAG